UACGUAGGUGGCAAGCGUUGUCCGGAUUUAUUGGGUUUAAAGGGUGCGUAGGCGGCUUUGUAAGUCAGUGGUGAAAUACGGCAGCUCAACUGUCGAGGUGCCAUUGAUACUGCAGAGCUAGAGUACUGAUGAGGUAGGCGGAAUGGACGGUGUAGCGGUGAAAUGCUUAGAUAUCGUCCAGAACACCGAUAGCGAAGGCAGCUUACUAAAGAGUAACUGACGCUGAGGCACGAAAGUGUGGGGAUCAAACAGG
rnacentral:rRNA from 1 species